GGUAAGGUGGCUGAGGUUAAGCGGUGGAUUGUAGCCCCAUAGACAGAGGUUUGAGUCCUCUCCUUAUCA
rnacentral:tRNA from 1 species